rnacentral:tRNA from 1 species
GUUUCCUGGAUAGCUCAGUUGGUUAGAGCGUGGUGCGGGUAGCGCCAAGGUUGCAGGUUCGAUUCCCGUAAGGGACA